UACAGGGGGGGCAAGCGUUGUUCGGAAUUACUGGGCGUAAAGGGCUCGUAGGCGGCCAACUAAGUCAGACGUGAAAUCUCCGGGCUUAACUCGGAACGGUCAGCUGAUACUGCUUUGCUAGAGUGCAGAAGGGGCAAUCGGAAUUCUUGGUGUAGCGGUGAAAUGCGUAGAUAUCAAGAGGAACACCUGAGGUGAAGACGGGUUGCUGGGCUGACACUGACGCUGAGGCGCGAAAGCUAGGGUAACAAACGGG
rnacentral:rRNA from 1 species